UACGAGUGCCCCAAGCGUUAUCCGGAAUCAUUGGGCGUAAAGGGUGUGUAGGUGGUUGUGUUAGUCUUCUGUCAAAUUCUUCGGCUUAACCGGGGGUCCGCAGGGGAAACGGCACAACUAGAGGAUGCGAGAGGUGAACGGAACUCAUGGAGUAGGGGUGAAAUCCGUUGAUAUCAUGGGGAACACCGAAUGCGAAGGCAGUUCACUGGCGCACUCCUGACACUGAGACACGAAAGCGUAGGUAGCGAAUGGG
rnacentral:rRNA from 1 species